rnacentral:rRNA from 1 species
AACGAACGCUGGCGGCAGGCCUAACACAUGCAAGUCGAGCGGACCUUUCGGGGUCAGCGGCGGACGGGUGAGUAACGCGUGGGAAUAUGCCCUUCUCUACGGAAUAGUCCUGGGAAACUGGGGGUAAUACCGUAUACGCCCUUUGGGGGAAAGAUUUAUCGGGGAAGGAUUAGCCCGCGUUGGAUUAGGUAGUUGGUGGGGUAAUGGCCUACCAAGCCGACGAUCCAUAGCUGGUUUGAGAGGAUGAUCAGCCACACUGGGACUGAGACACGGCCCAGACUCCUACGGGAGGCAGCAGUGGGGAAUCUUAGACAAUGGGGGCAACCCUGAUCUAGCCACGCCGCGUGAGUGAUGAAGGCCUUAGGGUUGUAAAGCUCUUUCAGCUGGGAAGAUAAUGACGGUACCAGCAGAAGAAGCCCCGGCUAACUCCGUG